AGAGAGAGACAUGCGCGCAUAUCAAUAAGCGGAGGAAAAGAAACUAACAAGGAUUCCCUUAGUAACGGCGAGUGAAGCGGGAAGAGCUCAAAUUUGAAAUCUUCAAGGUUUUACCUUGACGAAUUGUAGUUUAAAGAAGUGUUUUCUGCUGAAGUUUUGGUAAAAGUUCUUUGGAAUAGGACAUCAUAGAGGGUGAGAAUCCCGUAUUUGACCAUUAUUUUCAGCUUUGUGAUACACUUUCAAAGAGUCGGAUUGUUUGGGAAUGCAGUCCAAAAUGGGUGGUAAAUUUCAUCUAAAGCUAAAUAUUGGCGAGAGACCGAUAGCGGACAAGUACCGUGAGGGAAAGAUGAAAAGAACUUUGAAAAGAGAGUUAAACAGUACGUGAAAUUGUCAAAAGGGAAGCGUUUGACACCAGUGUUGUUUUCUCGAAAAUCAAUUAAAAAUGGCUCGAUUUUGUAUUGUUGAGACCUUAAAAGCUCACUGUACAUUUUUCGUGUCUUUUUUAAUGCACUUUUCGUUUAACAAGUCAACAUCAGUUUCUUUUGUUGUAAAAGGGUCAUUGGAAGGUGGCUUUCUUUUCGGAGAAAGUGUUUAUAGCCUUUGGCCUCUGCAAUCGGAGAGACUGAGGUCUGCAGCGUAGACUCUUCGGGGUUAGAUACAUUUGUGCUAAGUUAUAGCUUUUAUAGACAACUUGUUGACUAUAAUUAGUCUUGUAGCUUACUCGCUUAUGCUAUUUUACCUACGCUUAGGAUGUUGAAGAUGUAGCACAUCAU
rnacentral:rRNA from 1 species